rnacentral:rRNA from 1 species
AGCCUGAGAAACGGCUACCACAUCUAAAGAAGGCAGCAGGCGCGCAAAUUACCCAAUCCUAAUACAGGGAGGUAGUGACAAGAAAUAACAAUACAGGACUUUUUGGUUUUGUAAUUGGAAUGAGUUAAGUAUAAACCCCUUUACAAGUAUCAAUUGGAGGGCAAGUCUGGUGCCAGCAGCCGCGGUAAUUCCAGCUCCAAUAGCGUAUAUUAAAGUUGUUGCAGUUAAAAAGCUCGUAGUUGGAU